rnacentral:rRNA from 1 species
UACGUAGGGGGCAAGCGUUGUCCGGAAUCAUUGGGCGUAAAGCGCGUGUAGGCGGCUCGGUAAGUCUGCUGUGAAAGUCCAGGGCUCAACCCUGGGAUGCCGGUGGAUACUGUCGAGCUCGAGUCCGGAAGAGGCGAGUGGAAUUCCUGGUGUAGCGGUGAAAUGCGCAGAUAUCAGGAGGAACACCAAUUGCGAAGGCAGCUCGCUGGGACGUUACUGACGCUGAGACGCGAAAGCGUGGGGAGCAAACAGG